rnacentral:rRNA from 1 species
CAGCAGCCGCGGUAAUACAGAGGGUGCAAGCGUUAAUCGGAAUUACUGGGCGUAAAGGGCGCGUAGGUGGUUGCGUAAGUCUGCUGUGAAAGCCCCCGGCUCAACCGGGGAGGGUCAUUGGAAACUGGGAAACUUGAGUGCAGAAGAGGAGAGUGGAAUUCCACGUGUAGCGGUGAAAUGCGUAGAGAUGUGGAGGAACACCAGUGGCGAAGGCGACUCUCUGGUCUGUAACUGACGCUGAGGAGCGAAAGCGUGGGGAGCGAACAGGAUUAGAUACCCCGGUAGUCCCUGUCUCUUUACC